rnacentral:antisense_RNA from 1 species
CUUGAGCGAGCCGAGGUGGAUCGGGUCGUCCGCGGUGCGGCUGGUGCCGUAGGUGGCGAUCAGCGCCUGUGCCUC